UACAGAAGGUGCGAGCGUUAAUCGGAAUUACUGGGCGUAAAGGGUGCGUAGGUGGUUUUGUAAGUUAGGUGUGGAAGUCCCGGGCUUAACCUGGGGAUUGCGCCUAAUACUGCAAAGCUAGAGUACUGUAGAGGAAAGUGGAAUUUCCAGUGUAGCGGUGAAAUGCGUAGAUAUUGGAAGGAACAUCAGUGGCGAAGGCGACUUUCUGGACAGAUACUGACACUGAGGCACGAAAGCGUGGGGAGCAAACAGG
rnacentral:rRNA from 1 species